UGGCAAAGGAAUCCAUGAAUUUGUUAUAUAAAUCAGUACAUUACAAAAUUGUUGUUGCCUAAUUGGCUUACAUCUGAUACGUCUCAAAAAAUAAUCAAUUUUACUUUACAGGACAAUGAAAAAUACACAGCCUUUCAGAUGCAUAUAACAUACAAAGCAAUGAAAAUCAGCCUUAAUCAUCAAGUUUUCAAAUCAACUUACAGGCUCCAAAGUACGGUAUUCCUUUUCUGUUAUUGACAUGAUGCCAUUUGGAUCAGGUUCCACCUCUUCCAUAUAUUCCUUGGGAGGAAAGUCGCGCAUCCGUCCAAGCAGCCAUUGAUCAAUGACUCCACAGUUAAUUGCAUACUUGACUGUUUGCUCCAAAUAUCCUUUAUCAGUAAUGAGGUGUGGCUGAACAGAUAACAUUCUCAACAUUGCUGCAACAAUGCCAUCUCCAGAUGCUGACAUAUCACAUGUGAAAGGAGUAAUAGGGGCAUCCUCCAUGCCAUGCACUGCACCAUUGUGCUCCUCGGUGUAGUAGUGUAUCUUGGAAGUCCCAUUUGUAACAAACAAAACCUUAAGAUUUUCAUGCCAAAGUGGUGCAACCACUUCGGGUCCAUAAUGGACAAACUUGGAUCUGGCAUUAUUUUUGGUGUCAAAUUCCUCAGUGGGCUCUAUUCCACAAAGAAACUCAAGCUCUUGCUUGGUUAACUCUAUAACAUUUGCAUGAUUCCACACUUCUUGUAUGAAUAACUUGGUUUCUUCACUGGACUGCCACAGGGGUAACGGCAAGUUUACAUCAUAGAAAACAACCCCUCCCAACUUCUUUGACAUCUUGAUUGCCCGUAAUGUAGCUGAUUGCAUGCUUCGAUCAAGGAGGGAGUGUGUGUUGAAGUACAACAUUUUUGCCUCCUUAAGCACAUCAAUGUUUAUUUCAGAUUUAGAUAGAGAAUCUUCAGCACAGGGUUUGACACAAGUCAUUCUCAAGUGACCUCUCUUAGCAAUCUUCAUCUGUGAGAGUGCUGUUGCCCUUUUACUAUCAAUGCGAACUGAUCGUGUUUGUACAUUGUUCACAUUCAAAUAGUAUAGCAUGGCCUGACCAAAUUCAUCAUCCCCGAGUUUUCCCAUUAAAGCAACCUUACCACCCAAGCUUGCAAGAGCAAUUGCAACACUCCCUGCAGAUCCUCCCGGUGCCCUUACAAAUUUUUCUGGAGCCCAUAAUGCAUCCUUCAUUCUUUCAUGGAUUUCAUAAUCUAUAAGUCUGUUAGCUGGCCUUCCAGAUGGCACAAAAGCAUGCUGUGCAGCUCCAAAGCAGCAAACUAGAGGAGGCCAACCAUACGUGUAGCUAAUAUCAUCUCCACCAUCUUUGUCCAGUUCCAGGUCCCCAUCACUCUCAUCCUCAACAUUUGGAACAAAUGCAGACUCCUCCAUAUCACUAAUUUCAGAUUCACUACCUUGACCCUUCAUAUUCUCAUCCAUCUUCUCAGUCCUCCUCCUCCUAAUUUUCUUCUCAGUUUUCUCUUCCUCCACAAUAGUGGCAGGUGAAGUAGCUUUUCGUCGAGUCCUCCUUGGAGUUUUCUUGACAACUUCUUCAUUUGUAGCAUCAGUAGUUAUCCCCAAUUCAGAAUUCUCAUCUGGUACAUCCGAUAUUUUCUUCCUAGUUCGAGUAGUAGCUCGUUUAGAAUUCCUGGUUGUCCUCUUUUUUAAAAUUACACCAUUUUCACUAGGUUCCUCUUCAGAUAAAGUAUCAGAAAUUUUCUUCCUAGAGAUAGCCGCAAGACCCCAUUUAUUUUGCAAUCUAAAAUCUUGAAGUUGAGCCAAGUUCAGGGAGUGGUCAUUUAGGCAAGUUGAACGCCACCUGGGCAAUGAAAAGAAAUGGGUGAAAGAGAGAAACGCCAUUAACAGAGCCUAGUAAGAGCUCUCCUCUUGUUUUUGCCCUUUUGGGGUUUUGGCAAGAACUUCAGUCGACCCUCAGGGUUUACGGUUUGACAACAGAAAUAAACUAU
rnacentral:misc_RNA from 1 species